rnacentral:rRNA from 1 species
UACAGAGGGUGCGAGCGUUAAUCGGAGUUACUGGGCGUAAAGGGCGCGUAGGCGGUUUAAUAAGAUUGAUGUGAAAUCCCUGGGCUUAACCUAGGAACUGCAUCGAUGACUGUUAAGCUAGAGUACUGUAGAGGGUAGUGGAAUUUCCGGUGUAGCGGUGAAAUGCGUAGAGAUCGGAAGGAACACCAGUGGCGAAGGCGGCUACCUGGACAGAUACUGACGCUGAGGCGCGAAAGCGUGGGGAGCAAACAGG